GUGAUGAAGAUGGUUUGCUUGGUUUCGACGUACAUAGUGAUGGCCAUGGCCAAAGGCAACUAACUGUUCUAGCAAGAGAUGAGCGAAUGGAGAUCACCUCAAGCAUGAAUGGUUAUUGCGUCUCAAGACUAGCUCGAGGUGAC